UGGGGAAUAUUGCACAAUGGGCGGAAGCCUGAUGCAGCGACGCCGCGUGAGGGAUGACGGCCUUCGGGUUGUAAACCUCUUUCAGUAGGGACGAAGCGUAAGUGACGGUACCUGCAGAAGAAGCACCGGCUAACUACGUGCCAGCAGCCGCGGUAAUACGUAGGGUGCGAGCGUUGUCCGGAAUUACUGGGCGUAAAGAGCUCGUAGGCGGUUUGUCACGUCGUCUGUGAAAUCCUAGGGCUUAACCCUGGACGUGCAGGCGAUACGGGCUGACUUGAGUACUACAGGGGAGAGGGGGAUUUCUGGUGUGGCGGUGGAAUGCACAGAUAUCAAGAAGAACACCGAUGGCGAAGGCAGGGCUCUGGGUAGUAACUGACGCUGAGGAGCGAAAGCAUGGGUAGCGAACAGG
rnacentral:rRNA from 1 species